CAGCAGCCGCGGGAAUACGUAGGGUGCAAGCGUUAAUCGGAAUUACUGGGCGUAAAGCGUGCGCAGGCGGUUUGUUAAGACAGAUGUGAAAUCCCCGGGCUCAACCUGGGAACUGCAUUUGUGACUGGCAAGCUAGAGUCUGGCAGAGGGGGGUGGAAUUCCGCGUGUAGCAGUGAAAUGCGUAGAUAUGCGGAGGAACACCGAUGGCGAAGGCAGCCCCCUGGGCCAACACUGACGCUCAUGCACGAAAGCGUGGGGAGCAAACAGGAUUAGAUACCCCUGUAGUCCCUGUCUCUUAUAU
rnacentral:rRNA from 1 species